rnacentral:tRNA from 1 species
UGGGGUGUAGCUCCGCGGUAGAACACCUGCCUAGCAUGCAGGAAGCCCUGGGUUCAAUUCCAGCACCAGAA